rnacentral:rRNA from 1 species
CGGAACUGUUUUGAAAGAUUUCUUCGGAAUGAAUUUGAUUUAGUUUAGUGGCGGACGGGUGAGUAACGCGUGAGUAACCUGCCUUCAAGAGGGGGAUAACAUUCUGAAAAGAAUGCUAAUACCGCAUGAUAUAUCGGAAUCACAUGAUUUUGAUAUCAAAGAUUUUAUCGCUUGAAGAUGGACUCGCGUCCGAUUAGUUAGUUGGUGAGGUAACGGCUCACCAAGACCGCGAUCGGUAGCCGGACUGAGAGGUUGAACGGCCACAUUGGGACUGAGACACGGCCCAGACUCCUACGGGAGGCAGCAGUGGGGGAUAUUGCGCAAUGGGGGCAACCCUGACGCAGCAACGCCGCGUGAAGGAUGAAGGUUUUCGGAUUGUAAACUUCUUUUAUUAAGGACGAAAAAUGACGGUACUUAAUGAAUAAGCUCCGGCUAACUACGUGCCAGCAGCCGCGGUAAUACGUAGGGAGCAAGCGUUGUCCGGAUUUACUGGGUGUAAAGGGUGCGUAGGCGGCUUUGCAAGUCAGAUGUGAAAUCUAUGGGCUCAACCCAUAAACUGCAUUUGAAACUGUAGAGCUUGAGUGAAGUAGAGGCAGGCGGAAUUCCCCGUGUAGCGGUGAAAUGCGUAGAGAUGGGGAGGAACACCAGUGGCGAA